rnacentral:lncRNA from 1 species
AUUCCUGGAUUCAGAGUGGUGACCUUCUGGAUCCCUGUGAUGUUCUGUUGUCCAGGUCAUUGUUUCCCAACCUAGAUGCUGAGUCCAGUGAGACUAUGAAGAUAUUGUGAGUGUUCUUGGAGAUCAGAACAUAAGAGAUCCAACAGAGGUAGGUGGGAGUGGACAACUGAAGGCAAUUACAUAAAUGAACCAGAUGCUCU